GUUUGAUCCUGGCUCAGGAUGAACGCUAUCGGCAGGCCUAACACAUGCAAGUCGAGGGGCAGCACGGGUAGCAAUACCUGGUGGCGACCGGCGCACGGGUGAGUAACGCGUAUGAAACCUGCCCCCCGCUGGGGGAUAGCCCGUCGAAAGGCGGAUUAAUACCCCAUAGUUCCCCCGGACCACCUGGUCUGGGGGGUAAAGUUUUGGCGGCGGGGGAUGGUCAUGCGUGCCAUUAGCUAGUUGGCGGGGUAAUACCCCACCAAGGCGAUGAUGGCUAGGGGGUCUGAGAGGAUGGUCCCCCACACUGGUACUGAGACACGGACCACACUCCUACGGGAGGCAGCAGUGAGGAAUAUUGGACAAUGGAUGGAAAUCUGAUCCAGCCAUGCCGCGUGCAGGAAGACGGCCUUAUGGGUUGUAAACUGCUUUUAUACGGGAGCAAUAAGGGUUACGAGUAAUCCGAUGAGAGUACUGUAUGAAUAAGGAUCGGCUAACUCCGUGCCAGCAGCCGCGGUAAUACGGAGGAUCCGAGCGUUAUCCGGAAUUAUUGGGUUUAAAGGGUGCGUAGGCGGCCAUUUAAGUCAGCGGUGAAAUUUUGCAGCUUAACUGUAACAGUGCCGUUGAUACUGUUUGGCUAGGAUUUGGUUGUAGUGUGCGGAAUGUGUGGUGUAGCGGUGAAAUGCUUAGAUAUCACACAGAACACCGAUUGCGAAGGCAGCACACUAAGUCAUUAUUGACGCUGAGGCACGAAAGUGUGGGGAUCAAACAGGAUUAGAUACCCUGGUAGUCCACACUGUAAACGAUGAUAACUCGCUGCCGGCGAUACACAGUCGGUGGCCAAGCGAAAGCAUUAAGUUAUCCACCUGGGGAGUACGACCGCAAGGUUGAAACUCAAAGGAAUUGACGGGGGCCCGCACAAGCGGAGGAACAUGUGGUUUAAUUCGAUGAUACGCGAGGAACCUUACCCGGGCUCGAACGGUGCAUGAAUAUACGAGAGAUUGUAUAGUCCUUCGGGACAUGUAUCGAGGUGCUGCAUGGUUGUCGUCAGCUCGUGCCGUGAGGUGUCGGCUUAAGUGCCAUAACGAGCGCAACCCUUGUCAUUAGUUGCCAUCAGGUCAAGCUGGGGACUUUAAUGAGACUGCCACCGUAAGGUGUGAGGAAGGGGGGGGAUGACGUCAAAUCAGCACGGCCCUUAUGUCCGGGGCGACACACGUGUUACAAUGGGAGGUACAGAGGGCAGCUAUCCGGUGACGGAAUGCUAAUCUCCAAAACCUUUCUCAGUUCGGAUUGGAGUCUGCAACUCGACUCCAUGAAGGUGGAUUCGCUAGUAAUCGCGCAUCAGCCAUGGCGCGGUGAAUACGUUCCCGGGCCUUGCACAAAGCGCCCGUCA
rnacentral:rRNA from 1 species